rnacentral:rRNA from 1 species
AGUGAACGCUGGCGGUAGGCCUAACACAUGCAAGUCGAACGGCAGCACAGUAAGAGCUUGCUCUUACGGGUGGCGAGUGGCGGACGGGUGAGGAAUACAUCGGAAUCUACUUUUUCGUGGGGGAUAACGUAGGGAAACUUACGCUAAUACCGCAUACGACCUACGGGUGAAAGCAGGGGAUCUUCGGACCUUGCGCGAUUGAAUGAGCCGAUGUCGGAUUAGCUAGUUGGCGGGGUAAAGGCCCACCAAGGCGACGAUCCGUAGCUGGUCUGAGAGGAUGAUGGGCCAAACAGGAAAUGAGACACGGUCAAGACUCCUACGGGAGGCAGCAGUAGGGAAUCUUCCGCAAUGGGCGAAAGCCUGACGGAGCAACGCCGCGGGAGUGAUGAAGGUAUUCGGAUCGUAAAACUCUGUUAUUAGGGAAGAACAAAUGUGUAAGUAACUAUGCACGUCUUGAAGGUACCUAAUAAGAAAGCCACGGCUAACUACGUG